CUUACGUUCGCAGCAAAAAGUGCAGGGACCAACCUAUUUUGUCAUUUCAAAUACCAUUUUAUUUACAUUAUGUAGUAUCGUACUCUAACCUGACAUUGAUGGUUUCAGCGUUGAAUAAGUUUGUAUUUUUUUGAACAUUCAGAUCUAUUCUGAAUGUCAUUUGGUCGCGCAACACAGUUUUGAAGGUUCUCACAACCAUUACUCAUCAGUUUCCAGGUGAAGAAGAAGCAGUUAUUCCGGAAUUUCAUGACUAUCACAUUAUUUGGUGCUUUUGGGACAAUGAUAUCCUUCUUCAUGAUAUGUUAUGGUUGAUCAAAACAAUUUCUUUAGAAGUUCCCACCAGGUAGUAUAAGAUGUUGUUAUGCCAGAGGGGUGACGCCACAUUUAUUAUUUUCUAUGAAGCGAUGACCACAUCAAAGAAGCUGCUUUGUGGGCACUUGUCUCCUUUAUAUGGGUAGUCAAUGAUGGCUAGAGUGUCGCCGCGGCUGGACGAGACCGCUUCUCCCAGAACAUUUCCACUGCAGUUGUUUGACAUGGGACUGGAGGUCUAGAAAAGCGCUUGAAAAGUUUGCCUUCGGGAUGGGUUGCCUCUGGUAUGUAUAACGCAUGGAUGCUGACCUAUUAUUAUCCCAGAGCUGUAAACCGUUCCUACUGAUCAUUUUUCUCUCAUGUUAGUCUUUUCAAGAAGAUAUGAUUCAGCUUUUUUAUCACAGAAACACUCAAAACUAAGAACAUGAGGUAUUUGUAUUGACUAGCAUAAAUCUUGAAAAGAUCAUUGUAAGUUUCACUGGCUAUGUUACUUGAUUGAAACUGAACUUCCCUUGGUCCCAAAACUUUUAUUUAGUCGUGUUCAUUGACUUCCACAUCAGAUUUGGAUUGUUCCAUGGGGACUGAUCUCAUGUGUUUCUGUUUUCUGAAGGUUCUCUUGCCAAUGCUUGCUUUUUGUGGAGCUUGAGCUUACAGCCAAUGUUGUAAUUGGAUUGGAACAAAACCGUUUAGUUCUUCUUUAAUUCAAUACCUGACUCGAUAGGGAAUGUGCUAGCAUAUUUUCUUGUCCAAACCAUUUCUCGUGCGAUCUCAUUCUUCUUUGGUAAAUCAAUGAUUUCUUGCUCUGAUUCUUGUGAUGAGGCUUAAUGUAUUGCGAAAAUUAUGAGCCCAUGCCUUUCAUAUUGGCAUACAAGCAAGAAAAAAGUAACAAAAUUCAUAUGAUCUCGAGGAUAGGUGCAGUGGCGGAGCUUGGAAGAAAUCUUGGGCAGGCCAAACUAGAGCACAAAGAUUUGCUCCAAAACUAAAUCAAUUCUUCUCUGAUUAUCCUUACUAUGGAACUUAUAUUGCAAUUUCUAAACAGCAAUAGAUAAAUUAUUCAUCCUACCAAAUUGUUAACAAAUAAUUGCUACAGCCGAUAGGGAAAUUUCUGUGGAGAGAAUCAAGCUGCAAUUAUAUUGUCGUGAAGUGAUUUGGGGAAAGAGAGUUCUCACUUGUGGCAUGCGCCUGGGAGAAUUGGAGCAACUGCCGAGCUACAUCAAAAAAAUAGGAGAAGAUAAGAGGACUAGAGGAAAUGUGGUUAUGGCUUUCUAAUAAUUACAACAACAAUGAGCACAGGCAUGUAAUUGCCUUUUUAUGGUUUUAUAAUAGUUACAACAACAAUGAGCAUGAGGUUUCCAGAAUACACAGAUGGCUGGAGAAAUGGCCCAGGAAAUCAACUUUUGUUAGACUUGCUGGUGAAGGAGAUUGGUUCCACCAAUAUAAGGUUGUAGCUUUACUCCGGAUUUACCAUUUACAUGUAUAGUUUUUAACUAUACUUCCCUGGCUAAGAAUGUCACAUAUUGUUUUUAUAUAGCUGGUGGUUCAAUGGAGGGAACCAUACAUGAAACCUUCCUUGCAAUAUACUUUUCCCUUUGCUAUGUAGAAUGACUGUGCCCUACCUAAUGUGUUUGUGUGGUGUAUUGUUCUAGAUUCAUAUUAUCUGUAUUGAUAAUGCCACUGUUUUUCCUGCCAUUGUAGCUGAAGAGUUAGCGGAUUGUUUGGACUGAAUUCUGAAUAUGUUGCGUUUGUGCCAUGUGAGAGAAAUAGCAUAUUGUUAUCAUCUUCAUAUAGUAGUAGAGUGUUCUCAGUGUUGCCCCUGGACAAAAAUGUACGUUGAGGUCAGCUAUCUUGAAUGGUACUUCUUUCGUUCCUCUGCAUGAUUUCGCUUCAUUGCUUUAAAACUUAAGCAUGUUGUUCUUUUA